UACGAAGGGGGCUAGCGUUGCUCGGAAUCACUGGGCGUAAAGCGCACGUAGGCGGAUUGCUAAGUCAGGGGUGAAAUCCCGAGGCUCAACCUCGGAACUGCCUUUGAUACUGGCAAUCUCGAGUCCGGAAGAGGUGAGUGGAAUUCCUAGUGUAGAGGUGAAAUUCGUAGAUAUUAGGGAAGAACACCAGUGGCGAAGGCGGCUCACUGGUCCGGUACUGACGCU
rnacentral:rRNA from 1 species